UACGGAGGGUGCUAGCGUUGUUCGGAAUCACUGGGCGUAAAGGGCUCGUAGGUGGCCAACUAAGUCAGACGUGAAAUCCCUCGGCUUAACCGGGGAACUGCGUCUGAUACUGGAUGGCUUGAGUUUGGGAGAGGGACGCGGAAUUCCAGGUGUAGCGGUGAAAUGCGUAGAUAUCUGGAGGAACACCGGUGGCGAAGGCGGCGUCCUGGACCAACACUGACACUGAGGAGCGAAAGCCAGGGGAGCAAACGGG
rnacentral:rRNA from 1 species